GUCGACGGAGAUAUGAUUUCGGUUAUAUCUUAGUGGCGAACGGGNNNGUAACGCGUGAGCAACCUGACUCUUAGAGGGGGAUAACACUCGGAAACGAGUGCUAAUACCGCAUAAGACCACGACAUGGCAUCAUGACGAGGUCAAAGGAGCAAUCCGCUGAGAGAGGGGCUCGCGUCCCAUUAGAUAGAUGGCGGGGUAACGGCCCACCAUGUCAACGAUGGGUAGCCGAGCUGAGAGGCUGAUCGGCCACACUGGAACUGAGACACGGUCCAGACUCCUACGGGAGGCAGCAGUGGGGAAUAUUGGGCAAUGGGCGCAAGCCUGACCCAGCAACGCCGCGUGAGGGAAGAAGGCUUUCGGGUUGUAAACCUCUGUCCUUGGUGACGAAAAAAAUGACGGUAGCCAAGGAGGAAGCCCCGGCUAACUACGUGCCAGCAGCCGCGGUAAUACGUAGGGGGCGAGCGUUGUCCGGAAUUACUGGGCGUAAAGGGUGCGUAGGUGGCCUUUUAAGUUGGAUGUGAAAUACCCGGGCUUAACCUGGGGGGUGCAUCUAAUACUGGGAGGCUAGAGUGCAGGAGAGGAAAGCGGAAUUCCUAGUGUAGCGGUGAAAUGCGUAGAUAUUAGGAGGAACACCAGUGGCGAAGGCGGCUUUCUGGACUGUAACUGACACUGA
rnacentral:rRNA from 1 species